AUUGAACGCUGGCGGCAUGCCUUACACAUGCAAGUCGAACGGCAGCACGGGAGCAAUCCUGGUGGCGAGUGGCGAACGGGUGAGUAAGUAUCGGAACGUGCCCAGUCGUGGGGGAUAACGUAGCGAAAGUUACGCUAAUACCGCAUACGAUCUAUGGAUGAAAGCGGGGGAUCGCAAGACCCAGCGAGAUUGGAGCGGACGACAUCAGAGUAGGUAGUUGGGGGGGUAAAGGCUCACCAAGCCGACGAUCUGUAGAUGGUCUGAGCGGACGACCAGCCACACUGGGACUGAGACACGGCCCAGACCCAUACGGGAGGCAGCAGUGGGGAAUGUUGGACAAUGGGCGAAAGCCUGCUCCAGCCAUGCCGCGUGCAGGAUGAAGGCCUUCGGGUUGUAAACUGCUUUUGUACGGAACGAAAAGGUUUGGGCUAAUAAGCUGAGCUCAUGACGGUACCGUAAGAAUAAGCACCGGCUAACUACGUGCCAGCCGCCGCGGUAA
rnacentral:rRNA from 1 species